rnacentral:rRNA from 1 species
GGCGAACGCUGGCGGCGUGCUUAACACAUGCAAGUCGAACGGAAAGGCCCUGCUUUUGUGGGGUGCUCGAGUGGCGAACGGGUGAGUAACACGUGAGUAACCUGCCCUUGACUUUGGGAUAACUUCAGGAAACUGGGGCUAAUACCGGAUAGGAGCUCCUGCUGCAUGGUGGGGGUUGGAAAGUUUCGGCGGUUGGGGAUGGACUCGCGGCUUAUCAGCUUGUUGGUGGGGUAGUGGCUUACCAAGGCUUUGACGGGUAGCCGGCCUGAGAGGGUGACCGGCCACAUUGGGACUGAGAUACGGCCCAGACUCCUACGGGAGGCAGCAGUGGGGAAUAUUGCACAAUUGGCGGAAGCCUGAUGCAGCAACGCCGCGUGCGGGAUGACGGCCUUCGGGUUGUAAACCGCUUUCGCCUGUGACGAAGCGUGAGUGACGGUAAUGGGUAAAGAAGCACCGGCUAACUACGUG